UAAUACGAAGGGACCUAGCGUAGUUCGGAAUUACUGGGCUUAAAGAGCACGUAGGUGGUUAAAAAAGUUGGUGGUGAAAUCCCAGAGCUUAACUCUGGAACUGCCAUCAAAACUUUUUAGCUAGAGUAUGAUAGAGGAAAGUGGAAUUUCUAGUGUAGAGGUGAAAUUCGUAGAUAUUAGAAAGAAUACCAAUUGCGAAGGCAGCUUUCUGGAUCAUUACUGACACUGAGGUGCGAAAGCAUGGGUAGCGAAGAGGAUUAGAUACCCUCGUAGUCCAUGCCGUAAACGAUGUGUGCUAGACGUUGGAAAUUUAUUUUCAGUGUCGCAGCGAAAGCAUUAAGCACACCGCCUGGGGAGUACGACCGCAAGGUUA
rnacentral:rRNA from 1 species